CAUUGCAAAAAAUAAAUUGCUAAGUUCUCUUGUAUCAAUGAAGAAUGUACAUAAAUGCAAUGUUCAGUGUGAAUUGUAGAUAUCGUGAACCAUCAAAUAUUUGAACACAAGAUACUUCCGAUGUCGUUAGAUUGAGGGCACAUAUGUCUAUGUGUCA
rnacentral:rRNA from 1 species